rnacentral:rRNA from 1 species
UACGUAGGGAGCAAGCGUUGUUCGGAUUUACUGGGCGUAAAGGGCGCGUAGGCGGCAAUUCAAGUCAGCUGUGAAAUCUCCGGGCUUAACUCGGAACGGUCAGCUGAUACUGCUUUGCUAGAGUGCGGAAGGGGCAAUCGGAAUUCUCGGUGUAGCGGUGAAAUGCGUAGAUAUCGUAAGGAAGACCAGUGGCGAAGGCGGGUCUCUGGACAGUUCCUGACGCUGAGGCACGAAGGUCAGGGGAGCAAACGGG